rnacentral:rRNA from 1 species
AAUCUUAGACAAUGGGGGCAACCCUGAUCUAGCCAUGCCGCGUGAGUGAUGAAGGNCCNNGGGUUNUNAAGCUCUUUCAGCUGNNNNNAUAAUGACGGUACCAGCAGAAGAAGCCCCGGCUAACUCCGUGCCAGCAGCCGCGGUAAUACGGAGGGGGCUAGCGUUGUUCGGAAUUACUGGGCGUAAAGCGCACGUAGGCGGAUCAGCAAGUUAGGGGUGAAAUCCCGGGGCUCAACCCCGGAACUGCCUUUAAAACUGUUGGUCUUGAGUUCGAGAGAGGUGAGUGGAAUUCCGAGUGUAGAGGUGAAAUUCGUAGAUAUUCGGAGGAACACCAGUGGCGAAGGCGGCUCACUGGCUCGAUACUGACGCUGAGGUGCGAAAGCGUGGGGAGCAAACAG